rnacentral:rRNA from 1 species
GAUGAACGCUAGCGGCAGGCUUAACACAUGCAAGUCGAGGGGUAUAGGUUUUCGGACCUAGAGACCGGCGCACGGGUGCGUAACGCGUAUGCAAUCUACCUUUCACAGAGGGAUAGCCCAGAGAAAUUUGGAUUAAUACCUCAUAGUAUUAUAGAAUGGCAUCAUUUUAUAAUUAAAGUCACAACGGUGAAAGAUGAGCAUGCGUCCCAUUAGCUAGUUGGUAUGGUAACGGCAUACCAAGGCUACGAUGGGUAGGGGUCCUGAGAGGGAGAUCCCCGACACUGGUACUGAGACACGGACCAGACUCCUACAGGAGGCAGCAGUGAGGAAUAUUGGUCAAUGGGCGCAAGCCUGAACCAGCCAUGCCGCGUGCAGGAUGACGGUCCUAUGGAUGGUAAACUGCUUUUGUACGGGAAGAAACACUCCUACGUGUAGGAACUUGACGGUACCGUAAGAAUAAGGAUCGGCUAACUCCGUGCCAGCAGCCGCCGUAA